rnacentral:tRNA from 1 species
GGAUGUGGCUCAAGCAGUAGCGCGCUCGCCUGGCAUGCGCGCGGCCCGGGUUCGAUCCUCAGCACCA